GGAGACUGACAAGUUCCCGGGA
rnacentral:miRNA from 17 species